UAUUGCGCAAUGGGGGCAACCCUGACGCAGCCAUGCCGCGUGAAUGAAGAAGGCCUUCGGGUUGUAAAGUUCUUUCGGUGAUGAGGAAGGAGGAUGUUUAAAUAGGGCAUUCAAUUGACGUUAAUCACAGAAGAAGCACCGGCUAACUCCGUGCCAGCAGCCGCGGUAAUACGGAGGGUGCGAGCGUUAAUCGGAAUAACUGGGCGUAAAGGGCACGCAGGCGGAUAAUUAAGUGAGAUGUGAAAUCCCCGAGAUUAACUUGGGAAUUGCAUUUCAUACUGGUUAUCUAGAGUCUUGUAGAGAGGGGUAGAAUUCCACGUGUAGCGGUGAAAUGCGUAGAGAUGUGGAGGAAUACCGGAGGCGAAGGCGGCCCCUUGGACAAAGACUGACGCUCAUUGCGAAA
rnacentral:rRNA from 1 species